UUCGGACCUCCGAUCAAGCAAGAGGACCCGCU
rnacentral:rRNA from 3 species